UAGCUCCGACAAACCACAGCAUCGACACGACAUAGCCUCGACAAACCAUAGCACCGACACGACAUAGCCUCGACAAACCAUAGCAUCGACAAGUAAAAUAAAAUUAGGCCUGCCACCACAGCCUCGACACGACAUAGCAUCGACAAGUCACGUGACACAUCUAUGGAAAUGUGGCCAACCUACUAAAUAAACAUGCGAUAAUAAUAAUAAUAAAUAAAGUUUUUAGUAGAAUGAUAAAUAUAAAACAAUCAAUCAAUUAUCAACAACUUUUAAAAUGAAAUUUUCCAUAUUUGUUAUUUAAUAAUACUUUUCACUUGUCACGUAUCUGACGUCCGAAUAAUUCUGAUUUUUUUGUGUUGUAGGGCUUGUGUCUUGACUUGACCGUUGAAAAACUCCUAACUCCAAAUCCAAAACUGUUCAAUUUUAUAGGUUACAUGUUGAUUGACGAUAUAUUAUCACAAUUUUGAAAGUUUUUAAAUUUCAAAAUAAAUUGACUUGAAGUUUUAUUCUUCUACAAAGUUUAUAUGUUUAUGUUAAUUGAAUAAGGUAAACCAUUUAACUACGAAAUGUUCUAUAAAGUUUAUUUUAUACUUCUUUGCCUAGUUAGGGUACUAGACGAUGUCUGGAUUGUGUUUCAGCAAACAUGGAGCAAGGGAUCAAAUACAACUAUCCAAUCAAGGAGAAAUUUGACAGAACCAGAGCUUCAGCCGAGCGAUUUAUACAAGUGGAUUACUUCUAAUAACAAAGAGGCUAACCAUUCUGCAGGCAACCACCGCCCUAGAGCCAGUGGGCAGCCGAGCGACGACCCUGUCACAGUAGUCAAGUGCCCCCUGUAGCUGUCGUCGUCCCCAGGGGCCCGCGAGAUGGAUGGAGGCGGUGGGAAUGCGAAAUGAAUAACAGACGCCCGGUGAUGGUGAGAAUACAGAUGCUGGACUGAUGAACGUGCCAACUCCACUGAUACCUCACCAUAUUAUUUGUUUUACAUAGAGCAAUCCAAUAUUUUUUAUACACUUAUGAAGUGUUUUAUCAAUAAACAUAAUAAAUAAUAAGUGUAUUUGAACAAACGAAAUUAACACUUGAAAAGUAAUGUUGUCUGUUUAUGUAAAGAGUUUGUCACAUUUUAUACUCUGAAAUUGUUUUAUAUAAUUUCAUUAUAAUUCUCAUAAUGUGCAAUAGAUUGCAUAAAAUUGUUAUUAAAAACUCUAUUUAC